GGCUGGUCCGAUGGCAGUGGGUUAUCAGAACUUAUUAACAUUAGUGUCACUAAAGUUGGUAUACAACCCCCCCACCACUAAAUUUGACUGGCUUUAA
rnacentral:Y_RNA from 1 species